rnacentral:piRNA from 1 species
UGAAUCGAUCCCUGCUGCUGGAGG